rnacentral:rRNA from 2 species
AACGCGAAGAACCUUACCUGGGUUUGACAUGCACUAGACGCGUUCAGAGAUGGGCGUUCCCUUGUGGCUGGUGUGCAGGUGGUGCAUGGCUGUCGUCAGCUCGUGUCGUGAGAUGUUGGGUUAAGUCCCGCAACGAGCGCAACCCUCGUUCCAUGUUGCCAGCGCGUAGUGGCGGGGACUCAUGGGAGACUGCCGGGGUCAACUCGGAGGAAGGUGGGGAUGACGUCAAGUCAUCAUGCCCCUUAUGUCCAGGGCUUCACACAUGCUACAAUGGCCUAUACAGAGGGCUGCGAGACCGUGAGGUGGAGCGAAUCCCUUAAAGUAGGUCUCAGUUCGGAUCGGGGUCUGCAACUCGACCCCGUGAAGUUGGAGUCGCUAGUAAUCGCAGAUCAGCAACGCUGCGGUGAAUACGUUCCCGGGUCUUGUACACACCG